GAGGGAGAAGAGAAAUAAACAGCAGUUUAUGAGCGCCUGUGUGGGGGAGGAGGGAGAAGUAUAAUAAGGGAAAUUCUAUUAGGAAUAAUGGGAUUAGUUUAUGAAGAUUGGGUUUAUUAUAAGUGUGAAAGGUUAAUAAUCAUAAUGUAGUUAAUAACUACUCUAUGAAGGUUUUUUGGUGAGAAAGAGGGAGGUAAUGAAGAGGUUAAUGGUGAGACUGAUUGACUGAUGUAUUUAGAUGAGAAGUUGGGUAUUUAUGUACAAAGCGUUGUAUUGUAAAAAACAGAGCGUCUGAUUGUGUUCAUGUCCAAAAUCUAAAAAGGGCAACGCUUUUACUAACAAGGCAUAAGCACAAUCAGAAGCGCCGCAUCUGCCAUCUUCCGGAGACUAAUCAUUACUGCACAUGCAUGGCGGCCAGUUUCCUAGUGAAGAUUUGCUGCUGCAGCGCUGAUUCAAGACUCCAGAAAGAAUGGAUGCAGCCAUUUAUUUGCUGAAAGAACUUUCAUGAAAAUCGAGCCUCCAGAAAUCAGUGACAUCACAAAGAUAUUCCCACUGGUCCCUGGUAAAUUGGUAAACUGUAUAUUUGUUCAGAGGACGAAAUGGCUGCCUCUGUGUGUGCAGGCAACAAAGCUAUUCAAUGGCAAUUCAUCAGUAAUCUAUUUUCAAUUUGCUGUUCAAUAAAGACGAAGAGACGCAGUUAAAGGAACUCUACCCAGAAAAAUAAAUGCUUUUAACAACAAA